rnacentral:rRNA from 1 species
GACAGAGGGUGCAAACGUUGUUCGGAAUUACUGGGCAUAAAGAGCACGUAGGUGGUGCGCUAAGUUACGUGUGAAAUCCCCCGGCUCAACCGGGGAAUUGCGCGUGAUACUGGCGCACUUGAGGCGGGUAGGGGUGAGCGGAACUCCAGGUGGAGCGGUGAAAUGCGUAGAUAUCUGGAGGAACACCGGUGGCGAAGGCGAGGUCUCUGGGCAUUAACGUGACGCUGAGGAGCGAAAGCAUGGGGAGCGAACAGG